GGAACGCUGUGACCCUAUAAAUAGAGGCGAGGAAUGGUGCUGAUAUGUUGAAGGAAGGAGGGGGGCAUGGAAAAAGGAUUAAGAGAGAUAUUCGGCUGGUGAUCGGGCUGUUCUUGCAGCCUGUGCAUCUCUGACUCAGCGGUGCUGCACCUUCCCCUGAGGAUGGGAUGUGCGUUCAUUAUUGGAGUACCUGCUUCAUUGGCUCCUGUCCUGUCAUGUCCUAACCAACUUCAAACGACAGUGUUUAAGCCGCCAGCCAAUGCAAAAGAAUAAAAGUUGCAUAUGAAAAUAGAUGUUCAUCAGUCAUUGUCACCUAGUGUUCAGGUACAUUUCCUGUGCAGUUUUCAUAAUGAGGCCUGCGCACGAGGUCCGGAUUUAUCAUAAAUGCAUCUUGUCUCAUCAUUCUGUUUUCAA